rnacentral:rRNA from 1 species
ACGGCUCAGUAACACGUGGACAACCUACCCUAUGGAGGGGGAUAACCCCGGGAAACUGGGGAUAAUACCCCAUAGACUAUGGAAGCUGGAAUGCUCUGUACUUGAAAGGUCCGCCGCCAUAGGAUGGGUCUGCGGCCGAUUAGGUUGUUGUUGGGGUAACGGCCCAACAAGCCUGUAAUCGGUACGGGUUGUGGGGGCAAGAGCCCGGAGAUGGAUUCUGAGACACGAAUCCAGGCCCUACGGGGCGCAGCAGGCGCGAAGACUUUACAAUGCGGGAAACCGUGAUAAGGGAACUCCGAGUGCCCGUAAAAUCGGGCUGUCCAUCUGUUUGAAUAACAGGUGAAGAAAGGGCCGGGCAAGACCGGUGCCAGCCGCCGCGGUAAUACCGGCGGCUCGAGUGGUGGCCACUAUUACUGGGCUUAAAGCGUUCGUAGCUGGUUUGUUAAGUCUCUGGGGAAAUCUUCCGGCUCAACCGGAAGGCGUCUCAGGGAUACUGGCAGACUAGGGACCGGGAGAGGUGAGAGGUACUCCAGGGGUAGGAGUGAAAUCCUGUAAUCCUUGGGGGACCACCUGUGGCGAAGGCGUCCUACCAGAACAGGUCCGACGGUGAGGGACGAAAGCUAGGGGCACGAACCGGAUUAGAUACCCGGGUAGUCCUAGCCGUAAACGAUGCCCGCUAGGUGUCACGACGGUCGUAAAUCGUCGUGGUGCCGUAGGGAAGCCGCGAAGCGGGCCACUUGGGAAGUACGGCCGCAAGGCUGAAACUUAAAGGAAUUGGCGGGGGAGCAC